UACGUAGGGUGCAAGCGUUGUCCGGAAUUAUUGGGCGUAAAGAGCUCGUAGGCGGUUUGUCGCGUCGAAUGUGAAAGCCCGGGGCUUAACUCCGGGUCUGCAUUCGAUACGGGCAGGCUAGAGUUCGGUAGGGGAGAUCGGAAUUCCUGGUGUAGCGGUGAAAUGCGCAGAUAUCAGGAGGAACACCGGUGGCGAAGGCGGAUCUCUGGGCCGAUACUGACGCUGAGGAGCGAAAGCGUGGGGAGCGAACAGG
rnacentral:rRNA from 1 species